AGAGUUUGAUCCUGGCUCAGGACGAACGCUGGCGGCGUGCUUAACACAUGCAAGUCGAGCGGAAAGGCCCUUCGGGGUACUCGAGCGGCGAACGGGUGAGUAACACGUGAGCAACCUGCCCUUAGCUUUGGGAUAACCCUCGGAAACGGGGGCUAAUACCGGAUAUCUACCUUCUGUCGCAUGGUGGUUGGUGGAAAGUUUUUUCGGCUAGGGAUGGGCUCGCGGCCUAUCAGCUUGUUGGUGGGGUGAUGGCCUACCAAGGCGACGACGGGUAGCCGGCCUGAGAGGGCGACCGGCCACACUGGGACUGAGACACGGCCCAGACUCCUACGGGAGGCAGCAGUGGGGAAUCUUGCCCAAUGGGCGAAAGCCUGAGGCAGCAACGCCGCGUGGGGGACGAAGGCUCUCGGGUCGUAAACCCCUUUCAGCAGGGACGAAAUUGACGGUACCUGCAGAAGAAGCCCCGGCCAACUACGUGCCAGCAGCCGCGGUAACACGUAGGGGGCGAGCGUUGUCCGGAUUUAUUGGGCGUAAAGAGCUCGUAGGCGGUUCGGCAAGUCGGGUGUGAAACCCCCAGGCUCAACCUGGGGACGCCACCCGAUACUGCUGUGACUAGAGUCCGGUAGGGGAGCGUGGAAUUCCUGGUGUAGCGGUGAAAUGCGCAGAUAUCGGAGGAACACCAGCGGCGAAGGCGGCGCUCUGGGCCGGAACUGACGCUGAGGAGCGAAAGCGUGGGUAGCAAACAGGAUUAGAUACCCCAGUAGUCC
rnacentral:rRNA from 1 species